GCCUGGGUGGCUCAGUCGGUUAAGCACCUGACUUCGGCUCAGGUCAUGAUGUCAGGCUUCGUGAGUUCGAGCCCCGCAUCGGGCU
rnacentral:tRNA from 1 species